rnacentral:rRNA from 1 species
GACGAACGCUGGCGGCGUGCCUAACACAUGCAAGUCGAACGGGGUAGAGAGCUUCGGUUUUCUACUUAGUGGCGAACGGGUGAGUAACGCGUGAGGAACCUACCUCUCAGUGGGGGACAACAGUUGGAAACGACUGCUAAUACCGCAUAAAGUUUUCAGACCGCAUGAUCUGGAAACCAAAGAUUUAUUGCUGAGAGAUGGCCUCGCGUCUGAUUAGCUAGUUGGUGGGGUAACGGCCCACCAAGGCGACGAUCAGUAGCCGGUCUGAGAGGAUGAACGGCCACAUUGGGACUGAGAUACGGCCCAGACUCCUACGGGAGGCAGCAGUGGGGAAUAUUGGGCAAUGGGGGAAACCCUGACCCAGCAACGCCGCGUGAAGGAAGAA